rnacentral:tRNA from 1 species
CCCACUGUAGCUCAGUUGGUAGAGCAUGGUGCUUGCAAUGCCAGGGUUGUGGGUUCGAUUCCCAUGGGGGGC